rnacentral:lncRNA from 1 species
CUCCAGAGAAACGGGUCCCCACGGUUAUUCUGCUCCACCCUGCAGAUGCCUGCGCGCCAGCUGGCCCUGCCCCUGCCCUGCUGAACACCGCCCGGGCCCAGUCCCCACUCCGCGGUUUGGUGAAGUUGGUUUCCGUGCCUGCUUGGGAAGCCCCUGCCUGGGGAUAAUCGUCAGGUCCUCGAGUCGCUUCCCCCCUACCUUCCGCUGCGUCGGCAACCUUAUCCUCCCGUCCUCAUUAACGGAUCGGCACUCAAAUCAAAGCCCAGCCCUCUGGGGUUCAUGAUCACGCACCCCCGGGACCCCUAGCGGGGGCGAGCCUCCGACCUCAGUCUGUCUCCUCCCCCAGGUGGCUGCCUCUCCCUGGGGUUUCUCCUAAGAUUUCAGUCCAAUCGUUUUCCAACUGCAACCUGCAUUUGCAUCCGUCACUUGGAGGUCUUAGCCACAGAUCGCGGGGCCGCAUCCCAGAAUCUGAUUUAGCAGGCGGGGCCUGAGAAUCGGCAUUUCUAACCAGUUUUAAGUGAUGCUGCUGCUAGUCAGGAGGCCACACUGAGGAUGUGGACUAGAAGAACUCACUUGGCCUAGGCUGGGCUCUCCGAAGCCGACCCUGAUGCUAGGACUUGAUGCAGACAGUUCACCUGGCAGGCGUCCCAGGAAACGCUCACAGGGAAAUGGGAGAUGGAAAGGGAGGGAGGAAGUCCUGUGGGGUCUGUCAAUGAGCAGGUAACUACGGUGGGCAGCUAUGGUGCAAGCCUGCCAGGGACCUUGGGGAAAAGGGGUAGGACCACCUGAGGGUAAGGGUGCUGGGCUACCUAUCUAUCUGAGGGUGCUCUGUGGGUACUUGUUCCCCAGCCUUUUUUUUUUUUUUUCUUACAGGGAGACAGGGUCUCACUCUGUUGCCGAGGCUGGAGUGCAGUGGUACCAUCUUAGCUCACUGUUAACCUUGAACUCCUGGGCUCAAACGAUCCUCCCGCUUCAGCCUCCUGAGCAGCUGGGACCACAGGCAUGCACCACUACACCCAGCUAAUUUUAAAAAAAACGGGGCGGCGGGGUGGGGGGGGGGAGCUGGGCACAGUGGCUCACGCCUGUAAUCUCAGCACUUUGGGAAGCUGAAGCUGGCAGAGCAGAUCAUGAGAUCAGGGGUUUGAGACCAGCCUGGCCAACAUGGUGAAACCCUGUCUCUACUAAAAAUACAAAAAUUAGCUGGGUGUGGUGGCACACACCUGUAGUCCCAGUUACUUAGGAGGCUGAGGCAGGAGAAUCACUUGAAUCUGGGAAGUGGAGGUGGCAGUGAGCCUAGACUGCGCCAUUUCACUCCAGCCUGGGCCACAGAGCAAGACUCCGUCUCAAAAAAAAAAAAAAAAAAAUGUUUGUAGAGACAGGGUCUUGCUAUGUUGCUCAGGCUGGUCUUGAACUACUGAGCUCAAGAGAUCCUCCCGCCUUGGCUUCCCAAAGUGCUGGGAUUACAGGCAUGAGCCACGGUGCCCAGCCUGUUCCAGCCUUUUUGUUAAAACUACAGAGUGAAUGGCCCCAGAGGGGAAGUUUCAUUUCUGGGUCUCUUUUCAGCCCCUUUCUGCCUUCCCCCCACAAACUCAGACAAAUGGACAUGGCCUGGAAAACCCAGUGUGGCUGCUGAGCUCCCCGCGGGUGGGAAGAGGAUCAAAAACAAAGUCUGAUCAUCCCAUAGCCUUGCUGGCCAAGACCAAGAACCGAGCUGGGCAACAGUGAGCUGCAGGCUUCGCUUUCCCUGCGGGCUCCAUGCCCCGGCUGCACGGGGAGGUGUUCUAGGCGGCCGCCGGCCAGAGCCUUUGAGAGUGGAACCUUCCUCGUGUUCAAUUAGAGGACCCAGACUUGGGAACAGAGCCGUAACCACACUUCCAGCCUUGGACACAGGAACAAACGAAAAAUAAUUUUUCUGUGUCAGACACCUGAAUCCUGAGGGCAUGUCAGGAUCUAUUUUCAGAUAUCUACAUUCUGUCUUCAUCCAACACCUUUGCUGUGAGGUCAACUUGAAUAUUCCACUGUGACUCUUCCCCAACCCAGUCUCCUCCCUCCCAGAGGCAGAGCCAAAUGGCCCGAGAGUGUGACAAGUUGAGACCUGUAGGACAGACAGCAGGUUGCCUGCCCAACAAGCGAUUCUGCCCUUCUUUCUUUCCAAAAUAACCCUGAUUCCAUCUGGGCAGCAAAUUCCUCAGAUAAAAGACUUUAUGAUUCUCUAUCUCUUGCAGACAGAAUGGUCACAGAGAGGUAUGUAGAAGCCCUUGGAUGAAGCUUCCAGGAAAGAUCUUAAAGGACCAACUCAGCUAGAAGACGCGUCCUUUCGCCCUUCAUCCUCUCUCUCUGCCUGCCUAAAACAUGACACGAUGGCUGGCACUGUAGCAGCUAUCUUGAAUCAUGAGGCUUCUUUAAAGAUAGAAGGUCUGUGCUAAGGAUGACGAAGAAGAGUGACAGAAGAAAGCUGGGUGCCUGAUGACUUUGUGGAGCCACCCAUUCCAGCCGAGACCACCAGCCUCUGAAAUUCUUCUACCUGAGAGAAAAUAAACCACCACCUCAUUGGAACCACAGCUACCUGGAUUUUCUCUUCUCUGCAGACAAAUCCUAAGGCCAAGUGAGGCCAAAGCCAUGUGGCCCUCGAGGCUGGCAGGAUUAAGGGGCAGUCACUGUCUCACUUGGAGAAUUAGGAUACACCCUUUGGGACAUGCUUUUGACCCUAGACCCUCCCAGCAGUCCAGUCUCCCAGGCUGUCCUGGAGAAAGGUUGGGAGGAGCCACCAAACCCUUAUUUGCACCUUCUUUGCAAAACAGCUGGAAGCACGGGUGUGUGGAGAAGGAACGAGCACUGCCAUUGGACGCUGAUGAUUGGCAGCCAAGGCUCAAUGAGGGAAAAUCCCAUAGGAAGUAAAGAAGCAGAGAGGAGAAGCCAGGCUGGGGUG